rnacentral:rRNA from 1 species
AAAAACAUGUCUGUUUGGAGGUUUAAAAAGUCUGGCCUGCCCACUGAUGAAUAGAGUUAAAGGGCCGCGGUAUUUUGACCGUGCAAAGGUAGCAUAAUCAUUAGUCUUUUAAUUGAAGGCUUGUAUGAAUGGUUGGACAAAGAAAAAACUGUCUUUAUGUUAUUAUUUGAAUUUAACUUUUAAGUGAAAAGGCUUAGAUAAACCAAGGGGACGAUAAGACCCUAUAAAACUUUAUAUAAGAUUAAGUUUGUUUAAAUUUAAUUAUUAAAAAAUUGAGUUUAAAAAUAAUUGUAUUUUGUUGGGGCGACAUAGGUAUAAGUAAUUAUAAUAACUGUUUAAAUGUAAUACUAUAAAUUUAUGAUUUUAAAUUAUAAAUGAUCCUUGUUAGAGAUUAUAAGAUUAAGUUACUUUAGGGAUAACAGCGUAAUUUUUUUUAAGAGUUCAUAUCGAAAAAAGAGUUUGCGACCUCGAUGUUGAAUUAAAAUAUCUAAUAAUGCAGUCGUUAUAAAAGAAGGUCUGUUCGACCUUUAAAUUUUUACGUGAUCUGAGUCCCAGACCGGAAUCCAUGGGCCGACUCCCCCAUCAAAAAACAAAAAUUUUUUUUUC